AAUAAACCAAUUUUUUACUUUUUAUCUUUAAUUUUUAACUCUUCGUCUUAUUAAAAAAAAAUUUAUGAUUGAUAUUUUUGUUUUUAUUAAAUGAUAAAUUAUAAAUAGUACUUUACGUGUGACUAAUUUUUUUCUAAUUUACUAAAAAAUUUUCAAAUAAAACGAAUGGUCAAACGUUGGACACGGAAACCGGAGAAUUUAUU
rnacentral:pre_miRNA from 1 species